AGAUGAACGCUGGCGGCAGGCCUAACACAUGGAAGUCGAGCGAAUGAGGAGAGCUUGCUCUCUGAUUUAGCGGCGGACGGGUGAGUAAUGUAUAGGGAGCUGCCCGAUAGAGGGGGAUACCAGUUGGAAACGACUGUUAAUACCGCAUAAUGUCUACGGACCAAGAGGGGGAUCUUCGGACCUCUUGCUAUUAGAUGAGCCUGCGUCGGAUUAGCUAGUUGGUGGGGUAAAGGCCUACCAAGGCGACGAUCCGUAGCUGGUCUGAGAGGAUGAUCAGCCACACUGGGACUGAGACACGGCCCAGACUCCUACGGGAGGCAGCAGUGGGGAAUAUUGGACAAUGGGCGCAAGCCUGAUCCAGCCAUGCCGCGUGUGUGAAGAAGGCCUUAGGGUUGUAAAGCACUUUCAGCGAGGAGGAAAGGGUGAUGGUUAAUAGCCAUUAUCUGUGACGUUACUCGCAGAAGAAGCACCGGCUAACUCCGUGCCAGCAGCCGCGGUAAUACGGAGGGUGCAAGCGUUAAUCGGAAUUACUGGGCGUAAAGCGCGCGUAGGUGGUUAAGUCAGUCAGAUGUGAAAGCCCCGGGCUCAACCUGGGAACUGCGUCUGAAACUGCUUGGCUAGAGUACGGUAGAGGGGUGUGGAAUUUCCUGUGUAGCGGUGAAAUGCGUAGAGAUCUGAAGGAACACCAGUGGCGAAGGCGACUGUCUGGACCAAUACUGACGCUGAGGUGCGAAAGCGUGGGGAGCAAACAGAAUUAGAUCCCCUGGUAGUCCACGCCGUAAACGAUGUCAACUAGCCGUUGGGAGUCUUAGUCUUCUUAGUGGCGAAGCUAACGCGAUAAGUUGACCGCCUCGGGAGUACGGUCGCAAGAUUAAAACUCAAAUGAAUUGACGGGGGCCCGCACAAGCGGUGGAGCAUGUGGUUUAAUUCGACGCAACGCGAAGAACCUUACCUACUCUUGACAUCCUCGGAAGACUGCAGAGAUGCGGUUGUGCCUUCGGGAACCGAGUGACAGGUGCUGCAUGGCUGUCGUCAGCUCGUGUUGUGAAAUGUUGGGUUAAGUCCCGUAACGAGCGCAACCCUUGUCCUUAUUUGCCAGCACGUAAUGGUGGGAACUCUAAGGAGACUGCCGGUGACAAACCGGAGGAAGGUGGGGACGACGUCAAGUCAUCAUGGCCCUUACGAGUAGGGCUACACAGGUGCUACAAUGGCGAGUACAGAGGGAAGCAAACUUGCGAGAGUAAGCGGAUCCUUAAAGCUCAUCGUAGUCCGGAUCGGAGUCUGCAACUCGACUCCGUGAAGUCGGAAUCGCUAGUAAUCGCAAAUCAGAAUGUUGCGGUGAAUACGUUCCCGGUCCUUGUACACACCGCCCGUCACACCAUGGAG
rnacentral:rRNA from 1 species